UACGAAGGGGGCUAGCGUUGCUCGGAAUCACUGGGCGUAAAGCGCACGUAGGCGGACUCUUAAGUCGGUGGUGAAAUCCUGGAGCUCAACUCCAGAACUGCCUUCGAUACUGGGAGUCUCGAGUUCGGGAGAGGUGAGUGGAACUGCGAGUGUAGAGGUGAAAUUCGUAGAUAUUCGGAAGAACACCAGUGGCGAAGGCGACUCACUGGACACAUAUUGACGCUGAGGUGCGAAAAGCGUGGGGAGCAAACAGG
rnacentral:rRNA from 1 species